rfam:Lingula anatina scaffold2836, whole genome shotgun sequence.
AAAACGGCCCUUUUCAGGGCCAACCAACUCUACCAGGAAAAGCUAA